rnacentral:rRNA from 1 species
AUUGGACGCUGGCGGCAUGCUUUACACAUGCAAGUCGAACGGCAGCGCGGGCUUCGGCCUGGCGGCGAGUGGCGAACGGGUGAGUAAUACUUCGGAACGUGCCCAGUAGUGGGGGAUAGCUCGGCGAAAGCCGGAUUAAUACCGCAUACGACCUGAGGGUGAAAGCGGGGGAUCUUCGGACCUCGCGCUAUUGGAGCGGCCGAUGGCAGAUUAGUUAGUUGGUGGGGUAAAGGCCUACCAAGGCGACGAUCUGUAGCUGGUCUGAGAGGACGACCAGCCACACUGGGACUGAGACACGGCCCAGAGGCCUACGGGAGGCAGCGGUGGGGAAUUUUGGACAAUGGGCGAAAGCCUGAUCCAGCAGUGCCGCGUGUGUGAUGAAGGCCUUCGGGCUGUAAAGCACUUUUGGCGGGAACGAAAAGGACUGUGCCAAUACCACGGUUCGAUGACGGUACCCGCAGAAUAAGCACCGGCUAACUACGUG